GGUUAAGCGACUAAGCGUACACGGUGGAUGCCCUGGCAGUCAGAGGCGAUGAAGGACGUGCUAAUCUGCGAUAAGCGUCGGUAAGGUGAUAUGAACCGUUAUAACCGGCGAUUUCCGAAUGGGGAAACCCAGUGUGAUUCGUCACACUAUCAUUAACUGAAUCCAUAGGUUAAUGAGGCGAACCGGGGGAACUGAAACAUCUAAGUACCCCGAGGAAAAGAAAUCAACCGAGAUUCCC
rnacentral:rRNA from 1 species